rnacentral:rRNA from 1 species
GUGAGGAAUAUUGGUCAAUGGACGCGAGUCUGAACCAGCCAAGUAGCGUGAAGGAUGACUGCCCUAUGGGUUGUAAACUUCUUUUAUAAGGGAAUAAAGUGAGGGACGUGUCCCUUUUUGUAUGUACCUUAUGAAUAAGGAUCGGCUAACUCCGUGCCAGCAGCCGCGGUAAUACGGAGGAUCCAAGCGUUAUCCGGAUUUAUUGGGUUUAAAGGGAGCGUAGGUUGACAUAUAAGUCAGCUGUGAAAGUUUACGGCUCAAACGUGAAAUUGCAGUUGAUACUGUAUGUCUUGAGUGUACAAGAGGUGGGCGGAAUUCGUGGUGUAGCGGUGAAAUGCUUAGAUAUCACGAAGAACUCCAAUUGCGAAGGCAGCUCACUGGGGUACAACUGACACUGAGGCUCGAAAGUGUGGGUAUCAAACAGGAUUAGAAACCCCUGUAGUCC